GGAUAUAGCUUAGUUGGUAGAGUGCUUGCCGCGCAUGCACAAAACCAUGGGUUCAAUCCCCAAUACCA
rnacentral:tRNA from 1 species